UACGUAGGGCGCAAGCGUUGUCCGGAAUUAUUGGGCGUAAAGAGCUCGUAGGCGGCUUGUCACGUCGGGUGUGAAAGCCCGGGGCUUAACCCCGGGUCUGCAUUCGAUACGGGCUAGCUAGAGUGUGGUAGGGGAGAUCGGAAUUCCUGGUGUAGCGGUGAAAUGCGCAGAUAUCAGGAGGAACACCAAUAGCGAAGGCAGCUCGCUGGGACGGUACUGACACUGAGGCGCGAAAGCGUGGGGAGCGAACAGG
rnacentral:rRNA from 1 species